AUAGUACUUCCUCCGUCCCAAAAUUCUUGACUUAAAUUUAUCUAGAUACAAAUGUAUCUAAUACUAAGAUGUGACUAGAUACAUCCAUAUGUACACACAUUUAAGACAAGAAUUUUGGGACGGAGGGAGUACUAA
rfam:Triticum aestivum genome assembly, contig: Triticum_aestivum_CS42_TGACv1_scaffold_404477_5BL